GACAGAGGGUGCAAACGUUGCUCGGAAUUACUGGGCGUAAAGGGCGCGUAGGCGGACAGCUUAGUCAGAGGUGAAAGCCCAGGGCUCAACCUUGGAAUUGCCUUUGAUACUGGCUGUCUUGAGUUCGGGAGAGGUGAGUGGAAUGCCGAGUGUAGAGGUGAAAUUCGUAGAUAUUCGGCGGAACACCAGUGGCGAAGGCGACUCACUGGCCCGAUACUGACGCUGAGGCGCGAAAGCGUGGGGAGCAAACAGG
rnacentral:rRNA from 1 species